AGCAGCCGCGGUAAUUCCAGCUCCGAUAGCGUAUAUUAAAGUUGUUGCAGUUAAAAAGCUCGUAGUUGAAUUUCGGGAUUAGUACGCUGGUCGUGCCUUCGGUACGUACUGGUGUUACUGAUUCCUACCUUCUGACGAACCGUCAUGUCAUUAAUUUGAUGUGGACGGGGAAUCAGGACUGUUACUUUGAAAAAAUUAGAGUGUUUAAAGCAGGCUCGCGCUUGAAUACAUUAGCAUGGAAUAAUGAAAUAGGACGUUCGAUCCUAUUUUGUUGGUUUCUAGGAUUGACGUAAUGAUUAAUAGGGAUAGUUGGGGGCAUUAGUAUUCAAUUGUCAGAGGUGAAAUUCUUGGAUUUAUUGAAGACUAACUACUGCGAAAGCAUUUGCCAAGGAUGUUUUCAUUAAUCAAGAACGAAAGUUAGGGGAUCGAAGACGAUCAGAUACCGUCGUA
rnacentral:rRNA from 1 species